rnacentral:piRNA from 1 species
UACAAAUGGAGCCACAGAGAGGAAACGAGC